CACGCAGGUCACCUUAUCGCGGUUUGUUUAGGCAGAACGAGGAAAGUCCGGACACCAUAGUGCAGUAUAGCGGGUAACGCCCGUCACCUUAAACUUGUUUAAGGUAGGACAAGUGCAGCAGAAAGAAUGUACAGGUUAAGCUGUAGUGAAACCAGGUAAACUCUAUACGGUGAAACGUCAUGUAAACCAGCGUUAAGAGCGGCACGCUCGUGUUGGAGGGUAGGCGGUUAGAGCUUUUAGGUAACUAAAAGCCGAGAUAAAUGAUAAGGAUGGUUUUCGAACCUUACAGAAUCCGGCUUAUGACCUGCAUUUUUU
rnacentral:RNase_P_RNA from 1 species